rnacentral:tRNA from 1 species
UCCCUGGUGGCUCAGAUGGUAAAGUGUCUGCCUACAAUACGGGAGACCCAGGUUCAAUCCCUGGGUUGGGAA